GAUAACCAGCAAAACGGUCAGAAGUGUUUCGGGUGUUUGCAAACGCUGAAUGAUCUUAAGUGCAACAAAUCCGGGCAAAUACAAUGUAGGGGGACACAAACCAAGUGUGGAAGACUGGAAUAUGUUCUCACGAAUGGUGGUCGCAAUUUAACAAUUGACUUUCAAGGAUGUCUCUCCGAAUCGACUUGUCAUCUGAACUCCACACAGGCAAUGUUUGGCGUGGAACUUGAGAAAAACUUUGAGUGUUGCGAUGAAAAUCUGUGCAAUGGAAUUGCGAGAACGGAGAUGGGAGCGCUCUGCUUUCUCGUCCUGAGCUUAUGCCUGCUCCUCAUCAGCCACAAUUGACCUGCAGCGUGUUUCGAUCUGUUUACCCUGUACAUACCUCUCGUUAUUUAUAGGAACGCGGUUUGUAUUUAUUGCUAGCUCCUGCCGACUCAGAUCAUUUUGUUGCGAAGAGGAAACGAAUGGAAGAUUGCAUAUCGAAAAGAGACUGAACGUAAGCCAUGGUCAAUACAUUUGAUCUAUGUUGUACAGCUUUUGUUGGAGUACUGACUUGACUCGUGUCUGCGCUGGGUCUCCAACUGAAAAAUUAACCUCAGUGCAUCCCCCACCCCUGACAACGUCCAACCCCAUCCCUACACAUCCUUCCUUUUCGACAAACUCCAGUUCUCCAUUGAAAGACUUGAGUGAAGCUGCCCUCCCCACACUCUCGGAAAGUACUUUCCAGACCCUGGCGCUCGAAUGAAUCCGCCUCCCCUCCAACACUCAGACAGUUACAGACCCUGACCACGGGAGGAGGCCAUUCGGGGGCCUGCCCUGCUCCUAUCUUCUCGUUUUGAUGUUAAGAAGAGGCCACUGGAUAAAUCGUUGCUUUGUUGAUUGAUGUGUCCAUUGUAUUUAUAUUGUAAUCACUUCCAGAAUUUUGUACAUUGUAAAUAUCCAGGAUAUUAAUGUCUAUUAAAAAUACUGGUCUCUCUCA